ACUGCUGGGAUUGCUGGGGUCAUGUUCACUGGGGUUUAUGUGCUGGUUGACAUCUAUGGCUACAGGAAGCCAACCUUGGUCAUGGAAUGGCUAGGGACGCAUGCAUUGAUGGUCUACAUUCUAUUAGGUUGCAACAUCUUCCCUUUAUUUGCCCAAGGAUUCUACUUGAGGGAGCCUGAGAACAAUAUAAUCACUAUCAAGGAAGAAUGUUCAAAGGAAAGUAAAGGCUAAGGAGAAGAAACCAUAUACUCCUUUCCCUCCUCAGCUACCAAGCAAGGUGUCCUCAAGAGUAUUGGGAAGAAUGCCGACAAGCUAAAAAAAUGGA